rnacentral:lncRNA from 1 species
UCUAUUCCUUAUAUACAGCUCAGUCAGACUGAAACAUCUGUGUUUUGAGCUGGAAGUUGAAAAGUAUGAAUGCGUCGUUGGGAAGAAAAAUCUUGACGAACAAAGAAAGGACGUUCAAAAGACGAAACUUUUCGAAUUUUUACAAACGAAGCAUUCAGAGCUGUAAAAAUGACGGUUUUUCCAUAGUUUGAUGUACAUCCAGUUAGCUUCUUGCUAACACAUUUUUCGGACUGUUUUGAUAUAUAACAUUUUAACAAGGUGAAAAGGGGCACGUCGCCACCUACUGUAGCGGAGGUAUACAUGCUUCUGUCAGUAAUUUGCCCAGUGCUUGUAAACCGGGAUAAGGACAGUUGUCUGGUUAAAACCUCUGACUGAACUGUAACCGUAGCUUGGACUUAAAACUUGUCUCUGAUGGUCUUGUUUGCUUUUUGUAGCUUACAUAGAGGAAUCAAGCCAUUUGAAUAAAACAGGUUUAACUCUGUGUUAAAUCUAAACAGUGUAGCAGAGUUAAGAGACAGUUAGACCUUCAGUCUGACUCGAAUCUUGUGUCAGGGUCAUUUUUUUACAUGUUGCCCUGCUCUUGGUUGCACUUGUGAUUUGUAUUACCUCUGUAGACAUCAUGUAAGGAGUUUAUCUUGUGUGAGAUCAGAUGAGAAGAUGCUGCAGGUGAACAUACAAGCAAUCUCAGUUCUAUAUUAUUAGGACCAAACAAAAGCAUUAAAACAUACUUUAUACAGGGGGAAAGGUCUGUGUGUUCAAGUCUAAAAUAUUCCAGACUGAGUCCUGAUUUUCCAGGAUCUGUGGCUUUAGUCUGAGUCCUGUUCCUAACACCUGUAAAAUAUACUUUGUUAAAAGCGCUCCUCUUAAGAUGCUGGUAUAAAACAUCCUUUUUCUUGCGUUGUUAUAACUCUUUUAAAAUCUAGACCUAGCAACUCUUUCCAUGUCAAAAUUCAUUGCUAAAGAAAUCCUCUCUACCUACAACACAUGCUGACAGCCCGCUGACUCACAAACUGAAUCUCCUCAGUAAGCUGCAGGAAAACAAGUCAAGUUUUCGAGCUCGGUGAGUAAACAGAAAUCAAGGAAGCACUUUACCGGUGACAGUCGGCCUAAGCACCUCUUUCUUCUCUGUUAGCGUUUCUGUUCCAUUUGUCAGGUUCACUUGGCUUGUGUGCCAGUGUUGUCUAUUAGGUGUGUUUUCACUGUGCUGAGCACUACAGUAAAGGUCUGAAUUGAGAGGAAUGAGACACAAAGAGAGGAGAAGAAAUGAGUUUAUCAGCCCCAGGAGUCACAGCAGUAAUUAAUCAGCGUUUGGCCCAAAGAAUAGUGAAGAAUAUGAUUGAUUUGAAUGAUUUUUAAUAUUUAAAUGUAUAAAUGUGACUCUAAAGACACAAACACCUCUCCUGAAAUCACCUUCAUAUUGCAGCAGGUGUGAUAAUUCCUCAAGUGACACUAAGACGGGGGCAUCCAAGGUGCACAAGCCCAUCAAUGAGCGACAGUGGAAACAGCGUUGAAUUUCACUUCCUGAUGUCAGUGAAGAGGGGGAGCCAGUCACAGGCAGCCUCCCAGCUGCCCCUCAUCCCGUGUUUUCCACCAGAGGAUCCUGGGCUCAAAGAAAAGAUGUGCUUAAUAAUUCAGAGCCCUGAAUGAACACCACCCAACACCGCCACAAAAGGCAAGAUCAAACUUUUGGCAAAGCCGACGCGGCAGAGGGGCCGAUAGUGUUUCCCCAGCGUUAGCUAACUGUACAUUGACCAUAUGGACAUCAUAAUCACCCACGGGAUGAUUCAGCAGAUUCUUGAUCUGGAGCCCAAAAUCACACGACACCUUAAUUAGCUGGUGUUGAUAUCGCCCUUCAGAGCGCUAAUUUGUCACUGCCAACAAAACAGCUCCUGGCAUGAAGGGGUCUGUUAGAGUUUGGAGCAUUUAAGGUGACAGGAAUCGAGCAAAGGUGGAAAAAAAUCCUCCCUGACAGGUAGCUUUAACACUUAUUUGUUUCAUCAGUGAUUUCACUCUGCAUGUGUACAGUUGAUUAUCAGGAAGUGAGCUCAACUUUGCCUUCCUGGACUAAUACAUGCAGCCAUCACUGAAUUAUUUGAAACUGUGUUUAUACCCAGUAAGGUGUAAAUAAUUGCCGGCCUCCUCUGGAGGCGUAGCCACCAUGAAGCGAUGAGUUGAAAAGGUCAGACGUGUUCUGCACGCCGGCUCUAAAGUGGUUUAUUAGCAUCCCAACGACAUAUUCAGGAGAUCGUCUGAGACAUAAUUACCUGGAUAAGGUACAGAUGAAUACUGUAUUUGGGGGAGAAGGCAAGGUUGGUUGGAUAUUGGCUUUGUCUCCAUUAACCUGGAGCACGGUGUUAAAGGAUCUGUUUGUGGAGAGAAAAUGACAGCGAGUCGGGCUGACGGGGCCGGACUGAGACAGUUAAAGGCCCCUCGCUGCAUAGGAUAAUUAAUAAAUAAAAUACCAGGGGAGCCCCUGCCAUGCCUCCGUCUAUGACAGGGGCUGUCUCCAGUGCGCUAAAGCAUUAAAUGACCAAUUUCUGUCAGACUAACUUCCACAACGCUCUCCCUCUCUCUUUCUCUCGCUCUCUCUUUUGCUUGCCCUCUCGUCUCCACUCCUCUCACCCCUCUCUCUCUCUCUCUCUCUCCCUCGUUCCCUCCCUCCCCUCCCUGCUUCCUCGUUUUUCUGAAGUGGGGCUACUUUGCUCUCUUUGCACUGAGUUUUUCAGCGACUGAUGGCUCUAGUUCAUUUCUGCUGAAUUAAUUGGUCCCUGAAUGAAUUCUGUUGACAGGGCAAUUCAUCAUGUGUUUGGCCUGACAGUGACUGGGUGUUGGGUAGAGGAGGAGGGGAGGGUGGAGGAGGCGCUGGAGAGUGUGUGGAUGUGUGUGUGUGUGUGAGGGUGGGAGCGGUGUGGGGAGGCAGUCAGAGGUGGUGGGGGUUGGUGAUUGUGGCCUCCCACUUUUCUUUCCCCCCUCUGUGGAUCGUCUCUUCCUCUUCUUCUGCAAAAAGCUGGAUGCUCUUGUUGCACAGUUUUACCAAAACUCACACAAACCCAUCCCUCCCCCAAGACUGGGGAGAAGACCCUGGCUCAGCUUGACAGGGGCAUGCAGGUCAGUGCUACCCCUUUUACACAUUUUGACCUUUUGCUCCACACUUCCUCUUUUACCUCAAAUCCCUCCCUGACACUUGAUGUGUGAACACAAACACAGCAAACACCAGCCCUCUGCUCCUUACCUCCUACUGGAGGGUGGCAUAAUCAGGUAGUGAGGCAUAUUUAGUGCUUAAUUACACAAUGUGUCGCACAAUGGCCAUUCAAAACGAUAAUUUAGCUCCUGAAGGGAAAGCGC